UACGAAGGGGGCUAGCGUUGCUCGGAAUUACUGGGCGUAAAGCGCACGUAGGCGGCUUUCUAAGUCGGGGGUGAAAUCCUGGAGCUCAACUCCAGAACUGCCUUCGAUACUGGAAAGCUCGAGUCCGGGAGAGGUGAGUGGAACUGCGAGUGUAGAGGUGAAAUUCGUAGAUAUUCGCAAGAACCCCAGUGGCGAAGGCGGCUCACUGGCCGGGAACUGACGCUGAGGUGCGAAAGCGUGGGAGCAAACAGG
rnacentral:rRNA from 1 species